rnacentral:rRNA from 1 species
CUACGAGCCAGCAGCCGCGGUAAUACGGAAGGUCCAGGCGUUAUCCGGAUUUAUUGGGUUUAAAGGGAGCGUAGGCGGAUUGUUAAGUCAGCGGUUAAAGGGUGUGGCUCAACCAUACAUUGCCGUUGAAACUGGCGAUCUUGAGUGCAGACAGGGAUGCCGGAAUUCGUGGUGUAGCGGUGAAAUGCUUAGAUAUCACGAAGAACUCCGAUCGCGAAGGCAGGUGUCCGGGCUGCAACUGACGCUGAGGCUCGAAAGUGUGGGUAUCAAACAGGAUUAGAUACCCUGGUAGUCCACACAGUAAACGAUGUAUACUCGCGGUUUGCGAUAGACAGUAAGCCGCCAAGCGAAAGCAUUAAGUAUACCACCUGGGGAGUACGCCGGCAACGGUGAAACUCAAAGGAAUUGACGGGGGCCCGCACAAGCGGAGGAACAUGUGGUUUAAUUCGAUGAUACGCGAGGAACCUUACCCGGGCUUGAACUAACGGUGACGAAUCUAGAGAUAG